ncrna:Patiria miniata microRNA pmi-mir-153 precursor
GUCCCAGUCAUUUUUGUGCUUAUGCAACUCUCCUACUCUUGUAGUUGCAUAGUCACAAAAGUGAUUGGGAC